AGGGGAAUAUUGGACAAUGGGCGCAAGCCUGAUCCAGCCAUGCCGCGUGUGUGAAGAAGGCCUUAUGGUUGUAAAGCACUUUAAGCGAGGAGGAGGCUACUUUAGUUAAUACCUAGAGAUAGUGGACGUUAUUCGCAGAAUAAGCACCGGCUAACACUGUGCCAGCAGCCGCGGUAAUACAGAGGGUGCAAGCGUUAAUCGGAUUUACUGGGCGUAAAGCGCGCGUAGGCGGCUAAUUAAGUCAAAUGUGAAAUCCCCGGGCUUAACUUGGGAAUUGCAUUCGAUACUGGUUUGCUAGAGUGUUUUUGAGGAUGGUUGAAUUCCAUGUGUGGCUGUGAAAUGCCUAGAGAUCUGGAGAAAUACCGAUGACUAAGGCAGCCAUCUGGCCUAACACUGACGCUGAGGUGCGAAAGCAUGGGGAGCAAACAUG
rnacentral:rRNA from 1 species